UACGUAGGGUGCGAGCGUUAAUCGGAAUUACUGGGCGUAAAGCGUGCGCAGGCGGUUCGUUAAGUCAGAUGUGAAAGCCCCCGGCUCAACUGGGGAGGGUCACGCGAUACUGAUCGACUCGAAGGCAGGAGAGGGUAGUGGAAUUCCCGGUGUAGUGGUGAAAUGCGUAGAUAUCGGGAGGAACACCAGUGGCGAAGGCGACUACCUGGCCUGUUCUUGACGCUGAGGCGCGAAAGCUAGG
rnacentral:rRNA from 1 species